UAGCCAUCAAACCAGGGCUCUGGCUCACAGG
rnacentral:piRNA from 1 species